rnacentral:rRNA from 1 species
UACGGAGGGGGCGAGCGUUAUUCGGAAUUAUUGGGCGUAAAGGGCGCGUAGGCGGCCUGGCAAGUGGAAGGUGAAAUCCCUCGGCUUAACCGAGGAACUGCCCUCCAAACUGCUUGGCUUGAGUCCGGGAGAGGUGAGUGGAAUUCCCAGUGUAGCGGUGAAAUGCGUAGAUAUUGGGAGGAACACCAGUGGCGAAGGCGGCUCACUGGACCGGAACUGACGCUGAGGCGCGAAAGCGUGGGGAGCAAACGGG